rnacentral:rRNA from 1 species
AAGCGGCGAAAGGGUGAGUAACACGUAGCCAACCUACCCCUCAGACUGGAAUAACCACUGGAAACGGUGGGUAAUGCUGGAUGUUCCUAGCGUGAGGCAUCUCGUGCUAAACAAACGGUGGCGCAAGCUGCUGCUGAGGGAGGGGGUUGCGGGCUAUCAGCUAGUUGGCGAGGUAACGGCUCACCAAGGCGAUGACGGCUACCGGGUCUGAGAGGACGGUCCGGCACACUGGGACUGAGACACUGCCCAGACUCCUACGGGAGGCUGCAGUCGAGAAUCUUCCGCAAUGGGCGAAAGCCUGACGGAGCGACACCGCGUGCAGGAUGAAGGCCUUCGGGUUGUAAACUGCUGUCACGUUUUAGGAAUGGCCUGAUGUUAACAGCAUCAGGAGUGACCAAGGCGAAAGGAAGCACCGGCUAACUCUGUGCCAGCAGCCGCGGUAAGACAGAGGGUGCAAACGUUGUUCGGAAUUACUGGGCAUAAAGCGCACGUAGGUGGUCCACUAGGUCGAGUGUGAAAUCCCCCGGCUCAACCGGGGAAUGGCGCUCGA